UCGAGGAUCUUCGGCAAUGGGCGCAAGCCUGACCGAGCGACGCCGCGUGUGCGAUGAAGGCCUUCGGGUUGUAAAGCACUGUCGAGGGGGAGGAAGCCGCAAGGUUGACCUAUCCCUGGAGGAAGCACGGGCUAAGUUCGUGCCAGCAGCCGCGGUAAGACGAACCGUGCGAACGUUGUUCGGAAUCACUGGGCUUAAAGGGCGCGUAGGCGGGCCGGCCAGUCUGUGGUGAAAUCCCCCGGCUUAACCGGGGAAUUGCCGUGGAUACUGCCGGCCUCGAGGAGGGUAGGGGCACCUGGAACUAGCGGUGGAGCGGUGAAAUGCGUUGAUAUCGCUAGGAACUCCGGUGGCGAAGGCGAGGUGCUGGACCCUUUCUGACGCUGAGGCGCGAAAGCCAGGGGAGCAAACGGGAUUAGAUACCCCCGUAGUCC
rnacentral:rRNA from 1 species